AUGGCAGCAUCAAUUCUUUCUGCGGUGUCCGCACCGUCAUUGGGUCAAAAACGCAGGGCAUCUUUGAAGAAGAAAGAAAGAAGAAAACGAAAACGCCAAGCCCUCGCCAAAGCCCAAAUCAGAGAAUCUGGUGAAAAUGGAGAUGAUUCUCCACCAGAACAAGAUGAUGAUGAUGAAGAGGAAAGGAAGGCUGAGGAAGAAAGACGGCGACUAGACCAGGAGUGGCUGGAGAGGGAGAAGCUGGCCCAGCAGGAAUUCAGACUCCAGUGGAAGAGGGAAGACGCUGCAAGGAAGAGACAGGAGGAAGAAGAGGCGAGGAUAAAGCAGGAAUGGGAGGCCCAGCAGAGGAGAGAGGAAGAGGAGAAGGAGCAGAAGCAACAGGAGAAGAGAGACAGAGAGGUGAAACGUGCGCCAGGAGGAUAA
rnacentral:lncRNA from 8 species